rnacentral:lncRNA from 1 species
GCACAGACAACUCCAUGUCUUGGGCUCAGACAUACUCUCUCUCUCUUCCCUUUCCUUCUCUUUCUCUCUCUACAUUUCUAUCAAUCUCUGUCUUCUUUUUACGCGAUCUCUCUCUUUGAACUCAACAACAACAAAAUUCUUCUUGCAAAGGAAUCCCUCAAUACGCUGCCGUUUUGACUAGGGUUCUUUCAUUUCUCCACGAUUACAUUCAACCAGUUCUCAUCUCAACAUUACGCAACUAAUCUCUCAGACGUACGUUUCUUCUUCACUUCAGAUUCAAACUGCCGUUAAAACAUGUGCCGGUG